rnacentral:rRNA from 1 species
UACGUAGGGUGCAAGCGUUAAUCGGAAUUACUGGGCGUAAAGCGUGCGCAGGCGGUUAUGCAAGACAGAUGUGAAAUCCCCGGGCUUAACCUGGGAACCGCAUUUGUGACUGCAUAGCUGGAGUACGGCAGAGGGGGAUGGAAUUCCGCGUGUAGCAGUGAAAUGCGUAGAUAUGCGGAGGAACACCGAUGGCGAAAGGCAGUCCCCUGGGCCUGUACUGACGCUCAUGCACGAAAGCGUGGGGAGCAAACAGG